AUGCAUAAAUUCACAGAGAAACAUGAAUGGAUAACAACAGAGGAAGGUAUUGGAACGAUGGGAAUCAGCAAGUUUGCAUAGGAAGCUUUGAGAGAUGUUGUUUACUGCAGUCUGCCAGAAGUGGGGACAAAAUUGAAAAAACAAGAGGAGUUUGGUACUUUGGAGAGAGUGAAGGCUGCCAGUGAGCUCUCCUCACCUCUGUCAGGAGAGGUAACUGAAGUCAAUGAAGCACUUGCCGCAAAGCCAGGGCUCGUCAACAAAUCCUGUUAAGAUGGUUGGCUGAUGAAGAUGACACUGAGCGACCCUUCAGAGCUAGAUGAA
rnacentral:lncRNA from 1 species